CCGCACAGCGAACACCCAAGCCAGCUCUGUAGCUUCCUUGGCGUAAUUCUGUGCCAGAAUAUACCCCCCGCUGCCCUUUACCCUCUGCGUUGGAAGGAAUCCCGGUCCUUUUAAAUGUAUUCAAAAGGGCAGCACAAGC